GGGCCUAUAACUCAGGGGUAGAGUAUACGCCUGAUAAGCGUAAAGUCGAUCGUUCAAUUCGAUCUAGGCCCC
rnacentral:tRNA from 1 species